rnacentral:rRNA from 1 species
CUAAUACAUGCAAGUCGAGCGAACAGAUAAGGAGCUUGCUCCUUUGACGUUAGCGGCGGACGGGUGAGUAACACGUGGGUAACCUACCUAUAAGACUGGGAUAACUUCGGGAAACCGGAGCUAAUACCGGAUAACAUUUGGAACCGCAUGGUUCUAAAGUGAAAGAUGGUUUUGCUAUCACUUAUAGAUGGACCCGCGCCGUAUUAGCUAGUUGGUAAGGUAACGGCUUACCAAGGCGACGAUACGUAGCCGACCUGAGAGGGUGAUCGGCCACACUGGAACUGAGACACGGUCCAGACUCCUACGGGAGGCAGCAGUAGGGAAUCUUCCGCAAUGGGCGAAAGCCUGACGGAGCAACGCCGCGUGAGUGAUGAAGGGUUUCGGCUCGUAAAACUCUGUUAUUAGGGAAGAACAAAUGUGUAAGUAACUGUGCACAUCUUGACGGUACCUAAUCAGAAAGCCACGGCUAACUACGUGCCAGCAGCCGCGGUAAUACGUAGGUGGCAAGCGUUAUCCGGAAUUAUUGGGCGUAAAGCGCGCGUAGGCGGUUUCUUAAGUCUGAUGUGAAAGCCCACGGCUCAACCGUGGAGGGUCAUUGGAAACUGGGAAACUUGAGUGCAGAAGAGGAAAGUGGAAUUCCAUGUGUAGCGGUGAAAUGCGCAGAGAUAUGGAGGAACACCAGUGGCGAAGGCGACUUUCUGGUCUGUAACUGACGCUGAUGUGCGAAAGCGUGGGGAUCAAACAGGAUUAGAUACCCUGGUAGUCCACGCCGUAAACGAUGAGUGCUAAGUGUUAGGGGGUUUCCGCCCCUUAGUGCUGCAGCUAACGCAUUAAGCACUCCGCCUGGGGAGUACGACCGCAAGGUUGAAACUCAAAGGAAUUGACGGGGACCCGCACAAGCGGUGGAGCAUGUGGUUUAAUUCGAAGCAACGCGAAGAACCUUACCAAAUCUUGACAUCCUUUGAAACUCUAGAGAUAGAGCCUUCCCCUUCGGGGGACAAAGUGACAGGUGGUGCAUGGGUGUCGUCAGCUCGUGUCGUGAGAU